AUUGAACGCUGGCGGCAGGCCUAACACAUGCAAGUCGAACGGUAACAGGAAGACGCUUGCUUCUUUGCUGACGAGUGGCGGACGGGUGAGUAAUGUCUGGGAAACUGCCUGAUGGAGGGGGAUAACUACUGGAAACGGUAGCUAAUACCGCAUAACGUCGCAAGACCAAAGAGGGGGACCUUCGGGCCUCUUGCCAUCGGAUGUGCCCAGAUGGGAUUAGCUAGUAGGUGGGGUAACGGCUCACCUAGGCGACGAUCCCUAGCUGGUCUGAGAGGAUGACCAGCCACACUGGAACUGAGACACGGUCCAGACUCCUACGGGAGGCAGCAGUGGGGAAUAUUGCACAAUGGGCGCAAGCCUGAUGCAGCCAUGCCGCGUGUAUGAAGAAGGCCUUCGGGCUGUAAAGUACUUUCAGCGGGGAGGAAGGGAGUAAAGUUAAUACCUUUGCUCAUUGACGUUACCCGCAGAAGAAGCACCGGCUAACUCCGUG
rnacentral:rRNA from 1 species